rnacentral:rRNA from 1 species
GACGAACGCUGGCGGCGUGCUUAACACAUGCAAGUCGAACGGAAAGGCCCUGCUUUUGUGGGGUGCUCGAGUGGCGAACGGGUGAGUAACACGUGAGUAACCUGCCCUUGACUUUGGGAUAACUUCAGGAAACUGGGGCUAAUACCGGAUAGGAGCUCCUGCAGCAUGGUGGGGGUUGGAAAGUUUCGGCGGUUGGGGAUGGACUCGCGGCUUAUCAGCUUGUUGGUGGGGUAGUGGCUUACCAAGGCUUUGACGGGUAGCCGGCCUGAGAGGGUGACCGGCCACAUUGGGACUGAGAUACGGCCCAGACUCCUACGGGAGGCAGCAGUGGGGAAUAUUGCACAAUGGGCGGAAGCCUGAUGCAGCAACGCCGCGUUCGGGAUGACGGCCUGCGGGUUGUAAACCGCUUUCGCCUGUGACGAAGCGUGAGUGACGGUAAUGGGUAAAGAAGCACCGGCUAACUACGUG